rnacentral:sRNA from 1 species
UAGGCAGUCAUUUUAGUAAAGCAGUGAUUAGUGCAAGUGUUAUUUCGAUGAUGCUUGACGAAUAAUUCUCCUUCUUUAGUGCUUACCCUACGUAUUGCUGACGAAAAAUCAAAACUUGCCAUCUGAUGGCAUUUCAAACACUAAAUUUGAGAGUAAUUAUUAUGUCCAAAGUGACUGGUACCGUAAAAUUCUUCAACUCCGAAAAAGGUUUUGGCUUCAUCUCCCCGGUUGACGGCAGCAAAGACGUGUUCGUACACUUCUCCGCUAUCCAGUCCAACGGUUUCAAAACCCUGGAAGAAGGUCAGCGCGUUGAGUUCACCAUCGAGCAAGGCCAGAAAGGCCCGGCUGCUGCCAACGUAGUUGCCCUGUAAUUCAAGU